UCAAGUCGACUUUCCUCAAGUACGGUGCUCCGUCCAUCGACACCUUCACAAACGAAGCCGUCUCCGUGCCACCGCUUGGUUUUUGGCACGAACCCAUCACGUUCUUCCGGUAUGACCUCACAGGUGGCCAUCCCACAACUUGUGCCCUUCAAAAUUAUAUAUUAUAGAAAAUUGGAAAACAGUUAUAUUAUACAACCUUUGUAUGACAACAUGUUUAUAUAAAGUGUAGUUAGCUCAUAGUAAAUCAGUUCUUACGUUAUGUUCCAAAUAUGCUAUAUUUGCAUGAGACUAUAUAUGGUUUAACUGGUGAGAGAAUUAGAUUUUUUUAUUUUAUUCCUGCGGACUUGCAACGUUAUAAGAAAAAAAAAAUAAACCUUAGACAUACUACUUAGAUCAUUUGAGUCUUUUUUAAAAACUAAGUUUAGCUACAAUUUCUUUAAAAAGUUUCCGUUGUUUGCUCAAACUUUAUACAUCUUAAUGAGGUUUUAUCAACACAAAGAAUAGUUAUCGCUAGAAAUAAUAUCUUGGAGGUCCAUCAAAUUUAAUUUUCCGCAUAAAGAUAAGAAAAAGAAACUUCCGCGAAGAUCGGAAAAUAAAUAGAAAAGGGGAACAUAGUCAAAUUACUUGGCAGGAGGCUUGGCGGGAUCUUUGGGAGAUGAACUCUUUUCCUUGGAAACAGAAGUCACGACGUCAUGAGUCUUAGAUCCUUCAUUGCUUUCAGGUUCAUUGUUCAGAUUCAGCUUCAAAUCAACUGUCUCCGAGAACCCUCUCUUGGUUCCAGUCACCGGAGCCCCCGUUUCUCCGCCGGGAAGGCCAAGACACAGCUCAGUCUCUCUCAGAU
rnacentral:lncRNA from 1 species